GUUUGUUUAUUGUUGUUUAUACACGAUGACAUAACUGUAUAAACAAGCAAAACAUGUUAUUAUUUGGUAUUUAUAGAGUUCAUAAAAUACCAGCCCCAAGCAUAAAACAACUAUUGUAAUAGGAUUUGGAUUUACAUCGAAAAUACGUGACGAGUGUCGUAAAUGAAACACGAUGCUGUAAAAAAAGAACAUAUAUUUUAUUUACAAAUUGCUUAAUCAAACUUUUUCUGUUAUUUUUAUGUAUUUUUUUGAUUGCUCUAGACAAAAUCACAAUUCUACUGAUGAAGCAGUAUAUAAGUAUAUUCAUAUAAUUAUGUAUUAUAAACUUAGCACUUUUUUUUUCAUUAUUCAAUAUAUAUUUAUAAAUCAAUUAAAUAAUUUUGUUAUUUUAUUUCUUCUUUGUACAACAUUGCUGUGUGUAAAGUUGAUUCUUCAAGUUUUCUUCUACAACAUUUUCUCCAAUUUGCACGUUAAGGCCAUUUCAUCUCUCUGUACAUAUAACUCUCAAUUAUUUUUUUUUUCAUUUUCUCUUAAUAAUUUCACCGUUUCACUUCUCUUAAACUUUGUGAAAACAAAAUUAGCCAACAACUCCCGUCCUCGCCACAUCCAUAUUUUCAUAUAUAAAAAAAUCUACGUUCAUAUAUAUAUAUAUCAACAUAUGUCGAGGAGAAACAAACUCAAAAUUAUUAUCUACUAACCAAAACACUUUAGGAACUUUUCGAUUUUCAUCUCCAAAGCAAUCUUCUCUUUUCUCGCGCCACUCACUCACAUACAUAAUAAUUUUGCGUCUGUUAGUCGGUAAUGUACAAUUAAAGAAAAUAUUUACAAAUCGCUAUUGAGAACAAAACAAAAUUAAUAUAAGUACGUCCUAACAUUUAUUUGCAUCAGUAUAUAUAUUUUUUAUUUUUGUUUGUAAGUUAUUCGGAUUAAAUAUAAAUGGUGUCGUUUCGAAGUGCCUUACGUAAUUAACUUUC